UACGGAGGAUGCGAGCGUUAUCCGGAUUUACUGGGUGUAAAGGGAGCGUAGACGGUGAUGCAAGUCAGAAGUGAAAGCCCGGGGCUCAACUCCGGGACUGCUUUUGAAACUGUGUGACUGGAGUGCAGGAGAGGUAAGCGGAAUUCCUGGUGUAGCGGUGGAAUGCGUAGAUAUCGGGAGGAACACCAGUGGCGAAGGCGGCCUGCUGGACAUUAACUGACGCUGAGGCGCGAAAGCGUGGGGAGCAAACAGG
rnacentral:rRNA from 1 species